CGAAACUGCGAAUGGCUCAUUAUAUAAGUUAUCGUUUAUUUGAUAGUACCUUACUACAUGGAUAACCGUGGUAAUUCUAGAGCUAAUACAUGCUGAAAAUCCCGACUUCGGAAGGGAUGUAUUUAUUAGAUACAAAACCAAUGCCCUUCGGGGCUCUCUUGGUGAUUCAUGAUAACUUCUCGAAUCGCACGGCCCCGCGCCGGCGAUGGUUCAUUCAAAUUUCUUCCCUAUCAACUUUCGAUGCUACGGUAUUGUCCUAGCAUGGUUGCAACGGGUGACGGAGGGUUAGGGCUCGACCCCGGAGAAGGAGCCUGAGAAACGGCUACUACAUCCAAGGAAGGCAGCAGGCGCGCAAAUUACCCAAUCCCGACUCGGGGAGGUAGUGACGAUAAAUACCGAUACAGGGCUCUUUUGGGUCCUGUAAUUGGAAUGAGUACAAUUCAAAUCCCUUAACGAGGAACAAUUGGAGGGCAAGUCUGGUGCCAGCAGCCGCGGUAAUUCCAGCUCCAAUAGCGUAUAUUAAAGUUGUUGUGGUUAAAAAGCUCGUAGUAGAAGCUCGGGCUCCGGCCGACCGGUCCGCCUCACCGCGUGCACUGGUUCGGCCGGGCCUUCACCUUCUGCGGAACCGCAUCUCCUUCACUGGGGGUGUCGGGGAAACAGGACGUUUACUGUGAAAAAAUUAGAGUGCUCCAGGCAGGCCUAUGCUCGAAUAGAUUAGCAUGGAAUAAUGGAAUAGGACGUGUGGUCUUAUUUCGUUGGUUUCUAGGACCGCCGUAAUGAUUAAUAGGGACAGUCGGGGGCAUCAGUAUUCAAUCGUCAGAGGUGAAAUUCUUGGAUCGAUUGAAGACUAACUACUGCGAAAGCAUUUGCCAAGGAUGUUUUCAUUUAUCAGGAACGAAAGUUAGGGGAUCGAAAGACGAUCAGAUACCGUCGUAGUCUUAACCAUAAACUAUGCCGACUAGGGA
rnacentral:rRNA from 1 species